GGCAGUGUCUUAUUUUAUUGGAUUGAGAGACUACUAAGAAGCACUGACAAGUUGCUUCUUAUGUUAUUGAGCAAUUACUUGCAUUAUGUGCAGGAUAUGAAGGAGUGAAGGAAUUCCAUUUCGAGAAGUUGCUCCAUCAUGGUCAGAAUGUGAAAUCUGGGAGGAGGCAUUCAUCACAAAUAGCUUGAGGCUUUUACAACAUGUGGAUAGUAUUUAGGUUCCAACAGAAUGGCAAUCAGCCCAUUCUAAAACGUGGAAGGAUGUAUCAUGGACAAAAAAGCAAUUUCAGGGUGGACCUGGGAUGAUCACAACUGUUAUCCAGGAAAAGAUCAUGGAGAAAGCAAUUCUGGAAGGGUACCCAACAAGUAACAUAUAUGCAGGUUGAAGAUCCUACUGAGUUGCUAAUAUGCUGGGAUGAAACGGACAAUAGCUUACCGUCUAGUUCUCCCUUUCUUUGGUUGGCUUAUUCAUUGCCAUUAUUUUCUUAGCUCAUCAAAUAGAUGACCGUGUGAUCUCUAGGAAGAUGGUCGUUUUAUUGAAUCUGAAGUCUGAACAAACUUCAUGAAUAAGCCAGAGACCAAAUAGAGAGAAUUGGAACAAAACUAGAGAAAUCAAGUUCUUAUACUGAUGUUUAGCACUAUUUAUUUACUCCUUCAUACACCACUUUUGUGAACAUUAAUAGCCGCUUAUUUCUGUU